AGUCGAACGGUAGCAGGAAGUGCUUGCACUUUGCUGACGAGUGGCGGACGGGUGAGUAAUGCUUGGGAACUUGCCUUUGCGAGGGGGAUAACAGUUGGAAACGACUGCUAAUACCGCAUAAUGUCUACGGACCAAACGGGGCUUAGGCUUCGGCGCAGAGAGAGGCCCAAGUGAGAUUAGCUAGUUGGUGGGGUAAAGGCUCACCAAGGCGACGAUCUCUAGCUGUUCUGAGAGGAAGAUCAGCCACACUGGGACUGAGACACGGCCCAGACUCCUACGGGAGGCAGCAGUGGGGAAUAUUGCACAAUGGGGGGAACCCUGAUGCAGCCAUGCCGCGUGUGUGAAGAAGGCCUUCGGGUUGUAAAGCACUUUCAGUUGUGAGGAAAAGUGAGUAGUUAAUACCUGCUCACCGUGACGUUAACAACAGAAGAAGCACCGGCUAACUCCGUGCCAGCAGCCGCGGUAAUACGGAGGGUGCGAGCGUUAAUCGGAAUUACUGGGCGUAAAGCGCACGCAGGCGGUUUGUUAAGCUAGAUGUGAAAGCCCCGAGCUCAACUUGGGAUGGUCAUUUAGAACUGGCAGACUAGAGUCUUGGAGAGGGGAGUGGAAUUCCAGGUGUAGCGGUGAAAUGCGUAGAUAUCUGGAGGAACAUCAGUGGCGAAGGCGACUCCCUGGCCAAAGACUGACGCUCAUGUGCGAAAGUGUGGGUAGCGAACAGGAUUAGAUACCCUGGUAGUCCACACCGUAAACGCUGUCUACUAGCUGUUUGUGGCUUUAAGCCGUGAGUAGCGAAGCUAACGCGAUAAGUAGACCGCCUGGGGAGUACGGCCGCAAGGUUAAAACUCAAAUGAAUUGACGGGGGCCCGCACAAGCGGUGGAGCAUGUGGUUUAAUUCGAUGCAACGCGAAGAACCUUACCUA
rnacentral:rRNA from 1 species